rnacentral:rRNA from 1 species
AACGAACGCUGGCGGCAGGCUUAACACAUGCAAGUCGAGCGCCCUAGCAAUAGGGAGCGGCGCACGGGUGAGUAACGCGUGGGAACGUACCAUUUAGUGGGGGAUAACUUUGGGAAACUGAAGCUAAUACCGCAUACGCCCGAGAGGGGAAAGAUUUAUCGCUAAAUGAUCGGCCCGCGUGAGAUUAGGUAGUUGGUGGGGUAAUGGCCUACCAAGCCUACGAUCUCUAGCUGGUCUGAGAGGAUGAUCAGCCACACUGGAACUGAGACACGGUCCAGACUCCUACGGGAGGCAGCAGUGGGGAAUAUUGGACAAUGGGGGAAACCCUGAUCCAGCCAUGCCGCGUGAAUGAUGAAGGCUUUAGGGUUGUAAAGUUCUUUCACCGAUGAAGAUAAUGACGGUAGUCGGAGAAGAAGCCCCGGCUAACUUCGUGCCAGCCGCCGCGUAA